GCAGUGGGUUGGGUGUAGGGUUGAGUUAGCCUGCUAUAAUCACUACACAAUUACUCGCUCACAGUGUGGAAAGUGUUUUACAUUUUUCCUAUUUAACUUUGUUGGGAAAGAGCUUGUCCACUGACGAUACAUAUCACAGCCUGGUACAGCAACUGCACCGCCCUCAACCGCAAGGCUCUCCAGAGGGUAGUGAGGUCUGCACAACGCAUCACCGGGGGCAAACUACCUGCCCUCCAGGACACCUACAGCACCCGAUGUCACAGGAAAUCCAAAAAGAUCAUCAAGGACAACAACCACCCGAGCCACUGCCUGUUCACCUCGCUAUCAUUCAGAAGGCGAGGUCAGUACAGGUGCAUCAAAGCUGGAACCGAGAGACUGAAAAACAGCUUCUAUCUCAAGGCCAUCAGACUGUUAAACAGCCAUCACUAACACAGAGAGGCUGCUGCCAACAUACAGACUCAAAUCUCUGGCCACUUAAAUAAAUGGACUUAAUAAAGGUAUCACUAGUCACUUUAAAUAACGC
rnacentral:lncRNA from 1 species